rnacentral:rRNA from 1 species
UACGUAGGGCGCAAGCGUUAUCCGGAAUUAUUGGGCGUAAAGAGCUCGUAGGCGGCUUGUCGCGUCGACUGUGAAAACCCGAGGCUCAACUUCGGGCUUGCAGUCGAUACGGGCAGGCUAGAGUUCGGUAGGGGAGACUGGAAUUCCUGGUGUAGCGGUGAAAUGCGCAGAUAUCAGGAGGAACACCGAUGGCGAAGGCAGGUCUCUGGGCCGAUACUGACGCUGAGGAGCGAAAGCGUGGGGAGCGAACAGG